CAGCUCCGGCCGCCAUGGCGGCCGCGGGAAUUCGAUUUACGGUUACCUUGUUACGACUUCACCNUAAUCAUCUAUCCCACCUUAGGCGGCUGGCUCCAAAAGGUUACCUCACCGACUUCGGGUGUUACAAACUCUCGUGGUGUGACGGGCGGUGUGUACAAGGCCCGGGAACGUAUUCACCGCGGCGUGCUGAUCCGCGAUUACUAGCGAUUCCGGCUUCAUGCAGGCGAGUUGCAGCCUGCAAUCCGAACUGAGAGAAGCUUUGAGAGAUUAGCUUAGCCUCGCGACUUCGCGACUCGUUGUACUUCCCAUUGUAGCACGUGUGUAGCCCAGGUCAUAAGGGGCAUGAUGAUUUGACGUCAUCCCCACCUUCCUCCGGUUUGUCACCGGCAGUCUUGCUAGAGUGCCCAACUGAAUGAUGGCAACUAACAAUAAGGGUUGCGCUCGUUGCGGGACUUAACCCAACAUCUCACGACACGAGCUGACGACAACCAUGCACCACCUGUCACUUUGCCCCCGAAGGGGAAGCUCUAUCUCUAGAGUGGUCAAAGGAUGUCAAGACCUGGUAAGGUUCUUCGCGUUGCUUCGAAUUAAACCACAUGCUCCACCGCUUGUGCGGGCCCCCGUCAAUUCCUUUGAGUUUCAACCUUGCGGUCGUACUCCCCAGGCGGAGUGCUUAAUGCGUUAGCUGCAGCACUGAAGGGCGGAAACCCUCCAACACUUAGCACUCAUCGUUUACGGCGUGGACUACCAGGGGUAUCUAAUCCUGUUUGCUCCCCACGCUUUCGAGCCUCAGCGUCAGUUACAGACCAGAGAGCCGCCUUCGCCACUGGUGUUCCUCCAUAUAUCUACGCAUUUCACCGCUACACAUGGAAUUCCACUCUCCUCUUCUGCACUCAAGUCUCCCAGUUUCCAAUGACCCUCCCCGGUUGAGCCGGGGGCUUUCACGUCAGACUUAAGAAACCGCCUGCGCUCGCUUUACGCCCAAUAAAUCCGGACAACGCUUGCCACCUACGUAUUACCGCGGCUGCUGGCACGUAGUUAGCCGUGGCUUUCUGGUUAGAUACCGUCAAGGGAUGAACAGUUACUCUCAUCCUUGUUCUUCUCUAACAACAGAGUUUUACGAUCCGAAAACCUUCUUCACUCACGCGGCGUUGCUCGGUCAGACUUUCGUCCAUUGCCGAAGAUUCCCUACUGCUGCCUCCCGUAGGAGUUUGGGCCGUGUCUCAGUCCCAAUGUGGCCGAUCACCCUCUCAGGUCGGCUAUGCAUCGUGGCCUUGGUGAGCCGUUACCUCACCAACUAGCUAAUGCACCGCGGGUCCAUCCAUCAGCGACACCCGAAAGCGCCUUUCAAAUCAAAACCAUGCGGUUUCGAUUGUUAUACGGUAUUAGCACCUGUUUCCAAGUGUUAUCCCCUUCUGAUGGGCAGGUUACCCACGUGUUACUCACCCGUUCGCCACUCCUCUUUUUCCGGUGGAGCAAGCUCCGGUGGAAAAAGAAGCGUUCGACUUGCAUGUAUUAGGCACGCCGCCAGCGUUCGUCCUGAGCCAGGAUCAAACUCUAAUCACUAGUGAAUUC
rnacentral:rRNA from 1 species